rnacentral:rRNA from 1 species
GUAAAUAACCAUAUUCUGUUUUGUAAAAACCUUCUUUAUCUCGGAACCUAAACAGGAUCAGGCCUGGUUAGUACUUGGAUGGGAGACCACCUAGGAAGACCAGGUGCUAUAGGCG